rnacentral:tRNA from 1 species
GCGCCGGUAGUGUAGUGGUUAACACUCUGCUUUCCCAGCUUCCUAUAUAGGAAAUGUACCUGAACAAAGCAGCGGCCCGGGUUCGAACCCCGGCCGGCGCA